rnacentral:antisense_RNA from 1 species
GGACUCUUUGGACAGGGCGACUGGCACGCUGCCCACGGACGGCGUCUUCUUGGUCCCUCGGUGCUUGGAGAGCAGCGAGACGGACUUGGACAGGUCACACGGACCCGCCAGGAAACCGGGCAUAUGCAGCACGUCCCGGCGCUUGGCCCACCUGCAGGGAGCAGACGGCUCAGCCCCCGCCCUCUGCCGGACCCUCCCCCGGGGGUGAAGGCGCCCGCCCUAUCCCAGGCCCACUCGCCAGAACAGGCAGAUGCUGCAGCUCAGGAGGAGAAGGCCGCUGCACAUCCAGACCAGCGCCCACAUGUGCUUCCUCCGCAUGUUUUCUGGAGAAGGGAGGAAGGGUUAAGACCCGGGGCUCCCGACAGCCAGACCCACCCCCCAGGGACCUGGGACCAGGAGCCCUCACCGUCUGGACGCUGGUGGUAGCAGACCCCAUCGCGGUAGCAGCACCGGAGGCGCAGGCAGAGGUUGGGGCUAUCAAUGGCCGCCUGGCCCCCACAGCUCUCCCGGUCCCAUAUGUCACCCUCACAGCCUGGGGACCAACCA